AUUGCACGCUGGCGGCAGGCCUAACACAUGCAAGUUGAGCGAGCGGCGGACGGGUGAGUAAUGUAUGGGGACUGCCCGAUAGAGGGGGAUAACUACUGGAAACGGUGGCUAAUACCGCAUACUGUCGGAUAACCCAUAUGGGAUUAGCUAGUAGGUAAGGCAAUUGCUUACCUAGGCGACGAUCCCUAGCUGGUCUGAGAGGAUGAUCAGGAACACUGAGAUUGUGACUAGGCCCAGACUCCUACGGAGGCGGCAGUGGAGAAUAUUGAACAAUGGGCGCAAGCCUGAUGCAGCCAUGCCGCGUGUAGGAAGAGGGCACUAGGGUUUUAAAGUAUUUUCGAUCGGGAGGGGUUACCGACAGAAGAAGCACCGGCUAACUCCGUGCCAGCAGCCGCGGUAAUUC
rnacentral:rRNA from 1 species